ensembl:lncRNA
GUGGGCUUGACAGUGGAGCUGUCACUGUAUCUGGGCUGAGAACUGAAGCCGAACUUGGGAGAACUUGGGGAAGCAUGGGUGGAAUGGAGCGAGCGGGCUCUAACAAUCAUCAGGAGACAGGAAUUGAAACAAAUUAUCAUUGAGUCCCAUUGGGAAGCAGGCAUUAACCAUGUAAUCGCUCCAGCUCACCAGAUGUACAACACUCAGGACCUCCUCCACAUAUUGUUCCAAAGGCCAUCCAUCCUGCUGAAUGUUCCAAAUUAACUCCUCAGCCCAGUUCAUACUUUGCUUGGUCCGGUGUUCUGUCACGGUGCUACGGUGAUGAGUUGAGGAAUGUGAAGACGACGCCCAGUGUCAGUGAAGAUGGUGUGGACAGGAAUUCUGCUGUUUAUGGGAAAUCUGAAGGAACAUCUCCCAGCAUUCUACCACAUGUUGCCCUGAUGAUUGAGGAAUUUUUUCGGACUUUCCUGCCUCUUUGGAACAUUUCCGUUCACACAGACUGUGGAGAGAUGGUGUGCAGCUUCAUGAUGUGAAGUUUAGUGCCGAUGGAGAGCUUCUGGGACAUUGACAGACAGCACUUUCCAGCAAGUUCAUUUUGAGUUCUUUUUUUUUUUUAUUAAUUAAUUUAUUUAUUUAUUUAGUCAAACUUACAUUCACUAAUGCUGGAGUAACCUUUUAGAAGAAAACUUUCAGUCCUGUUUAAUGUUGGUGCUAGUAAAUGUUUGAGAACUAAUGGCCUGGUUUCACAGACAGGGCUUAGACUAAGCCAGGAUCAUAGUUCAAUAAGGACAUUAAGUAAUUUUCAUUAACAUGCCUUAGAAAAAACAUUACUGGCUUGCAUCUUGAGACAAAACAAAGGCACUGGUAUUUUUAAAGAUCAGUCAGUGCAAUUUUCUAUCAGUUGAAACAGCUCAGAAUUACAUUUUAGUCUGGGGCUGGUCUUAAGCCUUGUCUGUGAAACCAGGGGUACAAGUAACCCACUUUGGUAAUGUUUUACAAUAAGGUCUCAUUUGUUGUACAAAAUGAUAAUUUUCUUUAUUUUUUUGUAUUAAGUGUGUGUCUGU